rnacentral:rRNA from 1 species
UACGUAGGGUGCAAGCGUUAAUCGGAAUUACUGGGCGUAAAGCGUGCGCAGGCGGUUUUGUAAGUCAGAUGUGAAAGCCCCGGGCUUAACCUAGGAACUGCGUUUGAAACUACAAGGCUAGAGUGUGGCAGAGGGGGGUGGAAUUCCACGUGUAGCAGUGAAAUGCGUAGAGAUGUGGAGGAACACCGAUGGCGAAGGCAGCCCCCUGGGUUAACACUGACGCUCAGGCACGAAAGCGUGGGGAGCAAACAGG